UACGAGAGGCCCAAACGUUAUUCGGAUUUACUGGGCUUAAAGAGUUCGUAGGCGGUCCGUCAAGUGAGGUGUGAAAGCCCUCGGCUCAACCGAGGAAUUGCGCUUCAAACUGUCGGGCUCGAGGGAGAUAGAGGUGAGCGGAACUGAUGGUGGAGCGGUGAAAUGCGUUGAUAUCAUCAGGAACACCAGAGGCGAAGGCGGCUCACUGGGUCUCUUCUGACGCUGAGGAAGCGAAAGCUAGGGGAGCAAACGGG
rnacentral:rRNA from 1 species